rnacentral:rRNA from 1 species
GAUGAACGCUGGCGGCGUGCCUAAUACAUGCAAGUCGAGCGAACAGACGAGGAGCUUGCUCCUCUGACGUUAGCGGCGGACGGGUGAGUAACACGUGGAUAACCUACCUAUAAGACUGGGAUAACUUCGGGAAACCGGAGCUAAUACCGGAUAAUAUAUUGAACCGCAUGGUUCAAUAGUGAAAGACGGUUUUGCUGUCACUUAUAGAUGGAUCCGCGCCGCAUUAGCUAGUUGGUAAGGUAACGGCUUACCAAGGCAACGAUGCGUAGCCGACCUGAGAGGGUGAUCGGCCACACUGGAACUGAGACACGGUCGACUCCUACGGGAGGCAGCAGUAGGGAAUCUUCCGCAAUGGGCGAAAGCCUGACGGAGCAACGCCGCGUGAGUGAUGAAGGUCUUCGGAUCGUAAAACUCUGUUAUUAGGGAAGAACAAAUGUGUAAGUAACUAUGCACGUCUUGACGGUACCUAAUCAGAAAGCCACGGCUAACUACGUG